CUGAGUUACCGCUCUACAACCCUUUGUGAACAUACCUAACUGUUGCUUCGGCGGGCAGAGGUCCCUCGCGGAUCUCUCCCGGCCCCGUCUCACGACGGAGCGCCCGCCGGAGGCCACCAAACCAUUGUUUCUACUUUAGUUUUCUCUGAGUGGUUUAAACAAAUAAAUCA
rnacentral:misc_RNA from 1 species